GGGGAUGUAGCGCAGAUGGUAGCGCGUCUGCUUUGCAUGCAGAAGGUCAAGGGAUCGAUGCCCUUCAUCUCCA